UACGGGGGGGGCAAGCGUUGUUCGGAAUUACUGGGCGUAAAGGGCGCGUAGGCGGCCUGCUAAGUCGGAUGUGAAAUCCCUCGGCUCAACCGAGGAACUGCAUCCGAUACUGGCGGGCUUGAAUCCGGGAGAGGGAUGUGGAAUUCCAGGUGUAGCGGUGAAAUGCGUAGAUAUCUGGAGGAACACCGGUGGCGAAGGCGGCAUCCUGGACUACUACUGACGCUGAGGGAGCGAAAGCCAGGGGAGCAAGCGGG
rnacentral:rRNA from 1 species